ACGUAGUUUGACUCCGUGGCUCAAGAAGACGCUGGCGGCAGGCCUAACACAUGCAAGUCGAACGCUGUAGCAAUACAGAGUGGCAGACGGGUGAGUAACACGUGGGAACCUACCUAUUGGUACGGAAUAGCUCAGGGAAACUUGAGGUAAUACCGUAUACGCCCUUACGGGGAAAGAUUUAUCGCCGAUAGAUGGGCCCGCGUCUGAUUAGCUAGUUGGUGAGGUAAUGGCUCACCAAGGCGACGAUCAGUAGCUGGUUUGAGAGAAUGACCAGCCACACUGGGACUGAGACACGGCCCAGACUCCCUACGGGAGGCAGCAGUGGGGAAUCUUGGACAAUGGGCGCAAGCCUGAUCCAGCCAUGCCGCGUGAGUGACGAAGGCCUUAGGGUUGUAAAGCUUCUUUGGCGGGGACGAUAAUGACGGUACCCGCAGAAUAAGCCCUGGCUAACUUCGUG
rnacentral:rRNA from 1 species